rnacentral:rRNA from 1 species
GAAGAAGGCCUUCGGGUUGUAAAGCUCUUUUCUGUGGGAAGAGAGAGGACGGUACCACAGGAAUAAGUCCCGGCUAACUACGUGCCAGCAGCCGCGGUAAAACGUAGGGGGCAAGCGUUAUCCGGAAUCAUUGGGCGUAAAGCGCAUGUAGGCGGUUUAGUAAGUUGGAUGUGAAAGCUCACGGCUUAACCGAGAGAGGUCAUCCAAAACUGCUUAACUUGAGUAAGGUAGAGGGGUACANGAAUUCCUGGUGUAGUGGUGGAAUGCGUAGAGAUCAGGAGGAAUACCAGAGGCGAAAGCGGUACCCUGGGCCUAAACUGACGCUGAGAUGCGAAAGCGUGGGGAGCGAACGGGAUUAGAUACCCCGGUAGUCCACGCCGUAAACGAUGGAUACUAGG